rnacentral:rRNA from 1 species
UACGAAGGGGGCUAGCGUUGCUCGGAAUCACUGGGCGUAAAGGGUGCGUAGGCGGAUCUUUAAGUCAGGGGUGAAAUCCUGGAGCUCAACUCCAGAACUGCCUUUGAUACUGAGGAUCUCGAGUUCGGGGAGAGGUGAGUGGAACUGCGAGUGUAGAGGUGAAAUUCGUAGAUAUUCGCAAGAACACCAGUGGCGAAGGCGGCUCACUGGCCCGAUACUGACGCUGAGGCACGAAAGCGUGGGGAGCAAACAGG